GCAGAGCCCAGCAGUUCAGAGGUACUGAAAAUAUUCUUUGGGCUGGGUGAGGUCUGGGUCUGCACGAGGCACCUUGUCCUUGUCCCCAGUUCCCAUGGCCUGAUGGAAAGCUGCUUUGCUGCUGGAAAGGAGCCCAUGCAGCCACUUCCAGACAGAGAUCUCAGCGUCCAGGAGGAGUUCACACACAGCCAGAGCACUGGCCUCCAGGUGGGAUGAGCCUUCCAAAAAUUCCUGCUCUGGUACCUUCCUGUUAUCUUGUCUAAAUAUGUGAUAGCUCGGAGAUGAAGAAGCUUAAAAAAUCUCCUAAG